rnacentral:lncRNA from 1 species
UUUUAUUAUGAAGAGCACAGGUCAAUGAAGCACGCUAGCCAAUAAGAGGACCCGCCCACCGGCGGAAACCAGAUAUUGAGUGGUAAAUUCGUUUCGCUCAGAAGGAACCAAAAAACGAAUAAACGAACUGAAAUAUUGAUUUUCGUUUUUUUGACAAAACGUAUAAACGAAUAAACGAACCGAAAUCUUGAUUUUCGUUUUCUUGUCAAAACGAAAAAAACGAAAAAACGGCUUGUUUUCUGGUUUCUGCUUGCGUCAAUUAUUCCCAGAAAACAGAGUAAUAAAACGUACCUUGCUCCUUCUUAAACUAAUCUUUGGUUAUUCGUUUUUUGGCAGUAGGUACGAUGCUGGGAAACUGCGUGGGCCUGUGAUUACUCAGGCUGGAGUCCCCCCUGAACAACAUAUGAUGACUGGAAAAUAAAUAUGGAGAAAGUUACACCCAUUAUUGAGUCAGAAGCUGCGUUGACCUGUGAUUUCUCCGGGUGGAGGCUACUGAAAAUAUAACAGAUUGGAAAAUAAAUAUAGGCCUACAGAAAGUUACACUCAUUAUUGAGUCAGGUUCCCCACAAAUAAUUGUGUGCAAAAGAAAAUGGGACCCUGAUUUGUAUCUCCAUAAUUUGGGCCAAUCAUAUGCAGUGGCAUCUGGAAAGAAGCUGGAUCUACUGCAUUCUGGUGAUAUUAAUAGGACACACAAUUCAAAACACAAGUGCAGGCAUAAAGCGCUGCACGUAACAAUAGGCCUACUGAACCAAAACUUGUUGAGCGAAAAGAAGCUGCGUUGGCCUGUGAUUUCUCCGGGUGGAGGCUACUGAAAAGAUAAAAGAACGGAAAAUAAAUAUACAGAAAGUUACACUCAUUAUUGAGGCAGGUAAGUUGAAUUUCUCUUCAGACGCUCAGUAACACUUAUACAUUUUUCAUUGUUGAUAUGAACAUUUUAAAAAAGAUGAAACGGUGAGACGGUUUUGAGACAGUUUUCCACCACCAAGACACAUCUUUUUCAGGAUUGAUUGGAAGCAGAAUAAAAUCAUAAAAUCGAUCCAAGGUGUACACACACUUUCACGCAUGUUGUCUUUAGGUGCUUAUUUUAAUCCAUGGAUUAGCAAAAUUGUUCAUGUAUGGACUUAUAAACACCAUAGAUUGCAUUGCCCUCUAAGAUCUUUUCCCCUAACUUCAUAAACGGAACAUUUCUGAAGUCGGGGAAAAUACCGUAUAUAUUUUAGGAUAAAUUAAAAAUGUGUUAGAUAAGUCACCCAAAGCCGAAAAGGCAUUUUGUGUUUGUAUGACCUGGUGUGGAGGAGGUGCCGUCAUACCUUUCCUUGAACGUAGCCUAAUGUCUAAUUACAUGCACACGCACAUGCACAUAAAGACGCACACAAGCAUUUUCAACCCGUAGGUUUAAAAACAAAUCUAUUUAUACACUGUAACCGAAACUUAACAAGACUGGUGUGUGGUUUGGUGAAACUAGCUCGUGUCCAUAAUAGAUGACCUACGUGGUUUAGAUUCAUUCUUGAGCUAGAUGAGUGUAUUCAUGCAGUAGACAGCGCUUUUGUUGUCUCAAUUUUAUCUCACUGUCAACACUAUGAUUGAAACCGGUUUUAACUAGAACCGCAACUGCGUGUGCGUCUUGAUUUCUUUGGGUGGAGUCCACCUUCCCUUUGUGUUGAUCAAUGAAUUACGAACAUGUAUAAAUGUAUUUAGGAACUUAAACAUACCAU